GUUAAACUUUGAUAUAUUUUGGUAAUACAAAUUUGCGUGGCAAAUUUGAUUUUGUGUACGUAUAUUACUAUUUUAUCAUGUUUCGGAUGAUUCAUGUUCCUGGAGAGGUGUCACGAGAAGAAAAAAAGAAAGCUAAAGAAGCAGUAAUAGAAAACGUCGCCGCUUUCUUUAUUUGGGUUGUUUUUAUAAGAGGGCUUCGGUAUGUCUUGAGGCGGUUCUGACUGUUGAUCGGAAGUGAAACGCAAUGAAGUAAAAUACCAAACAAAAGAUGGCAUUGAAAAGUUCCUGUAUUUGUCUGUAGCAGUCAACUAAUAAAAUGUGAAACGGCGUAUUUAACACAAAACUUGUA